GAAUGGCAAAUGAACAUGUUUGCGGUGAUUAAGUAAAGUGUUUAUUGCCCAAUUACGAAUAACGAGGCUCGCCAUUACAGAUUGCACGACAACCGCUAAUUACAUGUAGUAUUAAAUUUCUGAUUCCAGAAGAAUUCGAAUAAAAAUAGCUGUAAGGUAAACAAAAUAUUGACUUCUCUGUAAGUUUCAUACGCCUUCAUUCUUUAAUUCAGGAGCAUUGAAAUAAAAUUCCCUAUAAAGUAAGCGAAAUAUUUCCCAUUCUAUAGAUCUCAAAUGCAUCCUCUUCGAGGAGAACUGAAAACUGCGUCUCGUAAUCCUAUCUGCAUUCAGACUCUAACAUACGACAGUUCUUUGUCUGCGGAUAAACACAAAAUACAAGUAAUACGGACGAUAAGGACCUCUUUAUUCGAAGGAGCGACGUUGCUCUCAGGAAUCUCUUCGGUAAUGGACUAUUACGCCGCACACGGAUCUCCUGGACGACCCUGAGAUGCGGACAUAUUAGGGCAUAGCUCGUGGUGCGAGUUGCAACGAUGAUAAAAAUAUUCUAUGAGAACACUUUCGGAGCCGGAUUCCAAGCAGAGGAUUUCUUGAAGACAGGCGUGACCAGUUCGGACGUUUCUUUGGUCCUUUAGUCAUCCGGGAUUCCGCUACGAUAGAAAAAAAAGAUCGUCGCAUCAAGGCGUGCCCACUGGUAUAUAUAAACAGUGUUAUGCGCAGAAAUUCGUGCACGUUCCAUCGAGUCAUCAUGAAGUGUCUAUACAUUCUGCUUUCAACUUGUUGCUUGAUUAGCUCUGGCUUGGCGAAGCCAGCCGCUCCAGUCCUGAACUAUCAGGACAGUUUUGGCCAAUACAGUUUCGGCUAUAGUACUCCAAAUUCCGCGAGAUCAGAGUUUAGAACUCUGAAUGGCGAAACGCACGGUGCUUACAGUUACAUUGAUGACACAGGCGCCAUCCAAAGGGCUCAGUACAUUGCCGACGACAAACAUGGCUUUCAAAUUAGGACCACCAAUGGUGCAGGGUUUCCAGUAUCGGUGCAAAACACACAAGAAGUGAUUGCAGUGAAAAAGCUUCAUCCUGGAGCAGAUGAAACGGAAUUGAAAACACAACGGAGAAUAGGAGCAAAUAAUAUAUUUUUGAAAGGAUUGAUAUCAAAUUUGCAGGGAGUCGUAGAAGGAGAAGACAAAACACAGACACAAAUAAACAGAGAUAAAACUGAGGAAAAUUCGAAAGCUUUCGUAAAGGAGUUACAGACAAAAUCGAUACAGGACGAUUCCAUCGUAAUUGAAGGCAGUCCAGCGCAGGAAUCGGUUUCAAAAUGUGACGAAGAGGGAAUAAAACACCAAGAAAUACUUGCUCCCAUCAACGCUUUUGGAUUGAACCCUAUUUAUCCCACUAUUAUUAGAUAUAUUCCUGUUUCUUCUUCACGAUAUAUUCUCGUCAAUACCCAGUAUCCAUAAAUCUCAUUUUUCUACUAUACUUUAAAUGAA